rnacentral:rRNA from 1 species
CCUGGCGGCACUAGCGCGGUGGUCCCACCUGACCCCAUGCCGAACUCAGAAGUGAAACGCCGUAGCGCCGAUGGUAGUGUGGGGUCUCCCCAUGCGAGAGUAGGGAACUGCAUGGC